rnacentral:rRNA from 1 species
GUAGGUGGCAAGCGUUGUCCGGAAUUAUUGGGCGUAAAGCGCGCGCAGGCGGUUCUUUAAGUCUGAUGUGAAAGCCCACGGCUCAACCGUGGAGGGUCAUUGGAAACUGGAGAACUUGAGUACAGAAGAGGAAAGCGGAAUUCCACGUGUAGCGGUGAAAUGCGUAGAGAUGUGGAGGAACACCAGUGGCGAAGGCGGCUUUCUGGUCUGUAACUGACGCUGAGGCGCGAAAGUGUGGGGAGUAAAUAGGGAUUAGAUACCCUGGUAGUCCACGCCGUAAACGAUGAGUGCUAAGUGUUAGGGGGGUUUCCGCCCCCUUAGUGCUGCAGCUAACGCAUUAAGCACCCCGCCUGGGGAGUACGCCGCAAGGCUG